rnacentral:tRNA from 2 species
UGCGGUGUAACUUAGUGGUAGAGUGCUUGCUUAACAUGUGUGAGGCACUGGGUUUGAUCCUCAGCAUCACAU